rnacentral:lncRNA from 10 species
AAGAAAUUUCAGGUCCUGACAUUCCUGUCAAUCUCAUAAGAAGCUAUUCUCCAUUCAGCCCCUGGCAAGAGGUCACUCACCUGUUCCAGAGAGCCCCCGAUAUGAUCAGAGAAAGCUUCAGAACCGUCUUGCUCUGCUGCUACUCUCACCCUGAGAAGAUCCUCAGUCUGACUCCUGGCAAUGUGGUAACACAGCUCGGAGAACCAGAAGGUUAAAGUCUUCACAUCCCCUUCUAGAGUUCGUCUGCUUCAAAACCAUUUGCCCCUCCCAGACACUAUAUCCGCACUUAUUCUUAGAAAUAACUUGACCAUCAGCACCGUUUUAUAGAACACUUACUAUGUGCCAGGCAUUGUUCCAACUUUCCUAUAAAUAUUACAAAACCAAAAUAUCUUUUAUGUAACCAUGUUGUAUAUUAAAGACUCAUAUCUGUUAUUAAUUAAUUAAUUAAUUAGCUACUUUAAAAAUUUGAGAUAGAGUCUCACUCGGUCACCCAGGUGGGAGUGCAAUGGCACAAUCUCGGCUCACUGCAACCUCUGCCUACUGGGUUCAAGCGAUUAUCGUGUCUCAGCCUCCGAGUAGCUGGUACUAUAGGCAUGCACCACCUCACCUGGCUAAUUUUUGUAUUUUUAAUAGGGACAGGGUUUCACCAUGUUGGUCAGGCUGGUCUCAAACUCCUGACCUCGGGUGAUCCACCCACCUCGGCCACCCAGAGU